rnacentral:rRNA from 7 species
CAAAAUGACUCUCGGCAACGGAUAUCUCGGCUCUCGCAUCGAUGAAGAACGUAGCGAAAUGCGAUACUUGGUGUGAAUUGCAGAAUCCCGUGAACCAUCGAGUCUUUGAACGCAAGUUGCGCCCGAAGCCAUUAGGUUGAGGGCACGUCUGCCUGGGUGUCAAA